GACAGAGGGUGCAAACGUUGUUCGGAAUUACUGGGCGUAAAGCGUGCGCAGGCGGUGAUGUAAGACAGGUGUGAAAUCCCCGGGCUUAACCUGGGAACUGCAUUUGUGACUGCAUCGCUGGAGUGCGGCAGAGGGGAUGGAAUUCCGCGUGUAGCAGUGAAAUGCGUAGAUAUGCGGAGGAACACCGAUGGCGAAGGCAUCCCCUGGGCCUGCACUGACGCUCAUGCACGAAAGCGUGGGGAGCAAACAGG
rnacentral:rRNA from 1 species